UACGGGGGGGGCAAGCGUUGUUCGGAAUUACUGGGCGUAAAGGGCUCGUAGGCGGCCAACUAAGUCAGACGUGAAAUCCCUCGGCUUAACCGGGGAACUGCGUCUGAUACUGGAUGGCUCGAGUUUGGGAGAGGGAUGCGGAAUUCCAGGUGUAGCGGUGAAAUGCGUAGAUAUCGGGAGGAACACCAGUGGCGAAGGCGACUUUCUGGCCUGUUCUUGACGCUGAGGCGCGAAAGCUAGGGGAGCAAACGGG
rnacentral:rRNA from 1 species